rnacentral:rRNA from 1 species
CUACUGGGAAACGGUAGCUAAUACCGCAAUAAUGUCUUCGGACCAAAGCGGGGGACCUCAGGGCCUCGCCGCCAAGUCGAGAUGAACCCAGUAUGGGAUUAGCUAGUAGGUAAGGUAACGGCUUACCUAGGCGAACGAUCCCUAGCUCGGUCUGAGAGGAUCGAUCAGCCACACUGGGACUGAGACACGGCCCAGACUCCUACGGGAGGCUACUGGGAAACGGUAGCUAAUACCGCAAUAAUGUCUUCGGACCAAAGCGGGGGACCUCAGGGCCUCGCCGCCAAGUCGAGAUGAACCCAGUAUGGGAU